CAUGGAAACACACAGAGGCAGGACUGCUGGCUGCACGCUGGACUUGAGCAGAAAGAGUGCAUUGAGGAAUGAGAUUUGCCAGUUUGUGGAUCCCCUUGGCUAGUUAGAGGCGCAGGCAGCCUAACAUUGAAGAUGGGUGCUAACCAGAAGAGGAAACAGCACUGGAGCAGCUCCUUUAGAUCGAAUCAGAGCAAUACAGAGGAGGAAUGCAAGGAAGAUAGAUCUCUGCAUAGAAUACUUCAAAUGCCUUCUUUUUACUUCAG
rnacentral:lncRNA from 1 species